rnacentral:tRNA from 1 species
UAGGGUUGUAGUUAAUUAUAACAUUUGAUUUGCAUUCAAAAAGUACUAGAUUUAUUUCUUUCUAGUCUUCCUUA